AACGAACGCUGGCGGCGCGCUUAACACAUGCAAGUCGAACGAGAAGGCGUAGCAAUACGCUUGUACAGUGGCGAACGGGUGAGUAAUACGUGGGCGACCUACCCUCGAGUGGGGAAUAACCCGCCGAAAGGCGGGCUAAUGCCGCGUACGCUUCCAUCUUUAUGGAGGUGGAAGGAAAGCCGUGCUGUGGGCACGGCGCUCAAGGAUGGGCUCACGUCCUAUCAGCUUGUUGGAGGGUAACGGCCUACCAAGGCUCCGACGGGUAGCUGGUCUGAGAGGACGAUCAGCCACACUGGCACUGCGACACGGGCCAGACUCCUACGGGAGGCAGCAGUGAGGAAUAUUGCGCAAUGGGCGAAAGCCUGACGCAGCGACGCCGCGUGGGGGAUGAAGGUC
rnacentral:rRNA from 1 species